rnacentral:rRNA from 1 species
CGGAGGAUCCAAGCGUUAUCCGGUAAUCGAUUGGGUUUAAAGGGGUCCGUAGGCGGGUUUAUAAGUCAGUGGUGAAAGCCCAUCGCUCAACGAUGGAACGGCCAUUGAUACUGUAGAUCUUGAAUUAUUAGGAAGUAACUAGAAUAUGUAGUGUAGCGGUGAAAUGCUUAGAGAUUACAUGGAAUACCAAUUGCGAAGGCAGGUUACUACUAAUGGAUUGACGCUGAUGGACGAAAGCGUGGGUAGCGAACAGGAUUAGAUACCCUGGUAGUCCACGCCGUAAACGAUGGAUACUAGCUGUUCGGAGCAAUCUGAGUGGCUAAGCGAAAGUGAUAAGUAUCCCACCUGGGGAGUACGUUCGCAAGAAUG